AGAGAUGAAGCGCGGGCAUAUGUCAGGAUCCCUUUCAGACCUGGGAGAGAGGCCCUGGCGGGCUGAAUUGUACCUUUAUUGCUGACCUUCUGAGGACCAUUUUUCCAAGAGCACAAAUUUCAUCUGGUGAAUAUCCCAGAGUUUUCAAGCCUACAUGGUCCUUCCCUGG